rnacentral:rRNA from 1 species
CCUACGGGAGGCUGCAGUGGGGAAUAUUGCACAAUGGGGAAAACCUGAUGCAGCCACGCCGCGUGAGUGAAGAAGUAUUUCGGUAUGUGAAGCCCUAUCAGCAGGGGAGAAGAUGACGGUACCUGAUUAAGAAGCCCCGGCUAACUACGGGCCAGCAGCCGCGGUAAUCCGUAGGGGGCAAGCGUUAUCCGGAUUUACUGGGUGUUAAGGGAGCGCAGACGGCAGCGCAAGUCUGGAGUGAAAGCCCGGGGCCCAACCCCGGAACUGCUGUGGAAACUGGGCGGCUAGAGUACUGGAGGGGCAGGCGGAAUUCCUAGUGUAGCGGUGAAAUGCGUAGAUAUUAGGAGGAACACCAGUUGCGAAGGCGGCCUGCUGGACAGUAACUGACGUUGAGGCUCGAAAGCGUGGGGAGCAAACAGGAUUAGAUACCCGUGUAGUC